CGAGUCCGAGGAGCUAAGGCUCCAAAGUGAUGCGAGUCAGACUUCCCAGAAAAGCCCGAACCACGUUAAUUUCUAAUUACCUGUACCCGAAACCGACACAGGUGGGUAGGUAGAGUAUACUAAGGGGCGCGAGAUAACUCUCUCUAAGGAACUCGGCAAAAUGACACCGUAACUUCGGGAGAAGGAGUGCCUUAUUUAUAAGGUUGCAAUAACAAGAUCCAAGCAACUGUUUAUCAAAAACACAGGUCUCCGCUAAGUCGUAAGACGAUGUAUGGGGGCUGACGCCUGCCCAGUGCCAGAAGGUUAAAGAAGUUGGUUAGUGUAUGCGAAGCUGAUGACUGAAGCCCUGGUGAACGGCGGCCGUAACGAUAACGGUCCUAAGGUAGCGAAAUUCCUUGUCGGGUAAGUUCCGACCCGCACGAAAGGCGUAAUGAUUUGGAUACUGUCUCGGAGAGAGGCUCGGUGAAAUAGACUUGUCUGUGAAGAUGCGGACUACCUGCACCAGGACAGAAAGACCCUAUGAAGCUUUACUGUAACUUGAAAUUGGAAUUGGACUUUGCUUGCGCAGUAUAGGUGGGAAGCGUUGAAAAUAUUCUUGCGGGAGUAUUGGAGCUAUCAGUGAGAUACCACUCUUGUAAUGUUAGAUUUCUAACUUUGAACCAUAAUCUGGUCAAAGAACAGUUUCAGGUGGGCAGUUUGACUGGGGCGGUCGCCUCCCAAAUGGUAACGGAGGCGUACAAAGGUUUCCUCUGAACGGAUAGAAAUCGUAUCUAGAGUGUAAAGGCAUAAGGAAGCUUGACUGUGAGACCUACAAGUCGAGCAGGGACGAAAGUCGGUCUUAGUGAUCUGACGGUACUGAGUGGAAAGGCCGUCACUCAACGGAUAAAAGUUACUCUAGGAUAACAGGCUGAUCUCCCCCAAGAGUUCACAUCGACGGGGAGGUUUGGCACCUCGAUGUCGGCUCAUCGCAUCCUGGGGCGGUAGUACGUCCCAAGGGUUGGGCUGUUCGCCCAUGAAAGCGGUACGCGAGCUGGGUUCAGAACGUCGUGAGACAGUUCGGUCCAUAUCCGGUGUAGGCGCUAGAAUAUUGAGAGGAGCCUUCUUUAGUACGAGAGGACCGAGAAGGACACACCGCUGGUGUACCAGUUAUCGUGCCAACGGUAAACGCUGGGUAGCUAUGUGUGGAGUGGAUAACCGCUGAAAGCAUCUAAGCGGGAAGCCCACCUCGAGAUGAG
rnacentral:rRNA from 1 species